UGAAAGACAAGGGUUCUAAAGAAAGGAGGAGAGGAUUAUAAGAGGGUUUGUUAAAGAGAGAGAAAGAUGGGAGAAAUAAUGGGUGUGUUGAGUAGUUUCCGGCAGCUUGAUGAAAACUCUGUCAAGUAACAUAACAGUUUACCAGGAGGGAAAAAUAGGGGGAGAAGGAUGAACACAGCACGAAAUUGCUAGGUUUUGGAAGCAAGAGAGGAAGCUUGCUCUCUAGAUGUGGAUUGAGUGAAUUUCCAGUUGCUUGACAAAGCUUGGUCGUACUCUGGAUGAUGAUUUUUGCUGGGUAGAGGAGGCUCAUUUUAUAGGCACUUAGAACCCUAAUUCUAUCGAUCUUCCAUUCCCACUUUUCCUUUGCUUCUUUCCAUUCACUCCUUUUUGUGAAAUUUCUUUAACGAAAGCACAUGGGUCACAGGCUUUUUAGGGUUCCAAGGUUUUUGUGUGGCUAGACCUCCCCCAUGGUGGUGAGGCGCCACCUACUUUCUCCCUUGGUUUUUAAAGUAGAGCUUACAGAGGAAAAGAGAAUGGGUAGAGUCGUUUUGCCUAAUGGGUAUUCCUCCUAUACGUACAAAUUCCCUUUGGUUUUUCUGAUGACUUGCGUUAGGUUUGUCUUUGGCCAUGUACUGGAGUCUCCCAGUAGCCUGAGCGUACAAACAUCUCCUGGUUUUUUAUCGUGGUUUCAUUUCAAA
rnacentral:lncRNA from 1 species